GACGAACCGUGCGAACGUUAUUCGGAAUCACUGGGCUUAAAGCGCGUGUAGGCGGGCGGGCGCGUCGGCCGCUGAAAUCCCCCGGCUCAACCGGGGAAGGGGCGCCGAGACGGCCGGCCUGGAGGGACGUAGGGGGGGCUGGAACUUCCGGUGGAGCGGUGAAAUGCGUUGAGAUCGGAAGGAACGCCCGUGGCGAAAGCGGGUCUCUGGGCCGAUACUGACGCUGAGGAGCGAAAGCGUGGGGAGCGAACAGG
rnacentral:rRNA from 1 species